rnacentral:rRNA from 1 species
AUUGAACGCUGGCGGCGCGCCUAACACAUGCAAGUCGAGCGAAGCGGCGAACGGGUGAGUAACGCGUCGGAACCUGCCUCUCACAACGGGAUAGCCUCGGGAAACCGGGAUUAAUACCGUAUGGUGAGUGAUGGCCUCGGGUCGGAUUAUUAGGUGGGGGGGUAACGGCCUACCAAGACGACGAUCAGUAACCGGCCUGGGAGGGUGAACGGGCACAUGGGAACUGGGACACGGUCCAAACGCCUACGGGAGGCAGCAGUGGGGAAUAUUGCACAAUGGGCGCAAGCCUGAUGCAGCCAUGCCGCGUGUGUGAAGAAGGCCUUCGGGUUGUAAAGCACUUUCAGCGGGGAGGCGUUACCCGCAGAAGAAGCACCGGCUAACUCCGGCCAGCAGCCGCGGUAAUUC